rnacentral:rRNA from 1 species
GAACCUGCGUAGGGAUCAUUUUUGCGAGGCGAUAUCCGAGGUUUAAUAACUAAGGAUUAUGUCUCUUUUUCGGGCCGUCAAAAGCGUCAAGCAGUUUUUUUUUCUCUUCAAGUCUUCAUAAUGGAUGACUUGGCUCUUGUAUCGAUGAAGAACGCAGUGAAAGGCGAAACGUAAUGUGAAUCGCAACUAACAGUGAAUCAUUGAAUCUUUGAACGCAGGCCGCAGCUUGUACAUCACUUGUGUUGUUGUAAGCUAUCUACGUAUGAGUGUCAGCCCAAUAUCCUUUUUGGUUCAGGAAAAUGAUCAUUUUUUAAAUGAUUCAAAUUCUUGAAUACAGACUUUAGGAAAUAAAUUAUGUCUGGCCUCACAUGUGGAAGGUCCCCGCUGGAUUAAGC